GUUCGGAAGGAGCAAUACUGCUGUCCUGGAGGAAUCCUCAGCACUGAGUGCCUUUCAGCUGGCUGUGCUGAGGUGAUGCUGAGGGCUGAUGGUACCAGCUGGAUGCUCACUGCCCUUUCCUUGCCCUUUCCUUCAGGGCUUAGGGGUGAGUGACCAAGGCAGGAGGCAAGCAGCUGGGCAUCUCACCCCCCACAUCAUACCCCAAGCCUGGAUUAUGACUCUGUGUGUCCCCUGUGGGGCAGGAACCUGCAUGUAGGCAGCUGCCAGAGGAAAGCUGAUGCCCGGGGCAGAAGCAUUCUUGGAUGUGCACAGUCCUCAUGCAUCUUUCCUGAUUGGAGAUGAAUUUCUUCCUGACAAGAGGAGCUCUUAUUUACCACGGCUUCCUCUGCUCCUUCUGUUUAUUGCCCACCUGAAAUCCUCCUUGCCUCCUGUGCUAGCCUUGUUGUUCCAAGAGCAGGCAGUCAUACUCCCACUGCAGCAGGAAGAGGGAUAGGGUCAGUGGCUGAUAGCUGACAGCUCCUUUUUAUGUUCCCAUCUGUUCCCUCUUUUCCCUUCUAAUGAGAUCAGGUGCUGGAGUGCACUGGGAAGACUUUUCAGUGAGAGGAAGUCACAAACGAGGUACUUAGGUCCUUGCUUUCAUCUUUGCUGGUGAGAGGCUGCUCAAAUCAAACCUGCAUCCUCUUGAGCUGCUCCUAGAACAGAAAGAAAGCAAAACUGUGUAGUGAGGCUGGCAGCCCUGCAUCAGGUAAGUUUGUACUGC
rnacentral:lncRNA from 1 species